rnacentral:rRNA from 1 species
GAGUUUGAUCAUGGCUCGGAUUGAACGCUGGCGGCAUGCCUUACACAUGCAAGUCGAACGGUAACAGGUCUUCGGAUGCUGACGAGUGGCGAACGGGUGAGUAAUACAUCGGAACGUGCCCGAUCGUGGGGGGAUAACGGAGCGAAAGCUUUGCUAAUACCGCAUACGAUCUACGGAUGAAAGCAGGGGACCGCAAGGCCUUGCGCGGACGGAGCGGCCGAUGGCAGAUUAGGUAGUUGGUGGGAUAAAAGCUUACCAAGCCGACGAUCUGUAGCUGGUCUGAGAGGACGACCAGCCACACUGGGACUGAGACACGGCCCAGACUCCUACGGGAGGCAGCAGUGGGGAAUUUUGGACAAUGGGCGAAAGCCUGAUCCAGCCAUGCCGCGUGCAGGAUGAAGGCCUCGGUUGUAACGUA